rnacentral:rRNA from 3 species
UCAUGGCUCAGAUUGAACGCUGGCGGCAGGCCUAACACAUGCAAGUCGAACGGUAACAGGAAGCAGCUUGCUGCUUUGCUGACGAGUGGCGGACGGGUGAGUAAUGUCUGGGAAACUGCCUGAUGGAGGGGGAUAACUACUGGAAACGGUGGCUAAUACCGCAUAACGUCGCAAGACCAAAGAGGGGGACCUUCGGGCCUCUUGCCAUCAGAUGUGCCCAGAUGGGAUUAGCUUGUUGGUGAGGUAACGGCUCACCAAGGCGACGAUCCCUAGCUGGUCUGAGAGGAUGACCAGCCACACUGGAACUGAGACACGGUCCAGACUCCUACGGGAGGCAGCAGUGGGGAAUAUUGCACAAUGGGCGCAAGCCUGAUGCAGCCAUGCCGCGUGUAUGAAGAAGGCCUUCGGGUUGUAAAGUACUUUCAGCGGGGAGGAAGGUGUUGUGGUUAAUAACCGCAGCAAUUGACGUUACCCGCAGAAGAAGCACCGGCUAACUCCGUGCCAGCAGCCGCGGUAAUACGGAGGGUGCAAGCGUUAAUCGGAAUUACUGGGCGUAAAGCGCACGCAGGCGGUCUGUCAAGUCGGAUGUGAAAUCCCCGGGCUCAACCUGGGAACUGCAUUCGAAACUGGCAGGCUUGAGUCUUGUAGAGGGGGGUAGAAUUCCAGGUGUAGCGGUGAAAUGCGUAGAGAUCUGGAGGAAUACCGGUGGCGAAGGCGGCCCCCUGGACAAAGACUGACGCUCAGGUGCGAAAGCGUGGGGAGCAAACAGGAUUAGAUACCCUGGUAGUCCACGCCGUAAACGAUGUCUACUUGGAGGUUGUGCCCUUGAGGCGUGGCUUCCGGAGCUAACGCGUUAAGUAGACCGCCUGGGGAGUACGGCCGCAAGGUUAAAACUCAAAUGAAUUGACGGGGGCCCGCACAAGCGGUGGAGCAUGUGGUUUAAUUCGAUGCAACGCGAAGAACCUUACCUGGUCUUGACAUCCACAGAAGAAUCCAGAGAUGGAUUUGUGCCUUCGGGAACUGUGAGACAGGUGCUGCAUGGCUGUCGUCAGCUCGUGUUGUGAAAUGUUGGGUUAAGUCCCGCAACGAGCGCAACCCUUAUCCUUUGUUGCCAGCGGUUAGGCCGGGAACUCAAAGGAGACUGCCAGUGAUAAACUGGAGGAAGGUGGGGAUGACGUCAAGUCAUCAUGGCCCUUACGACCAGGGCUACACACGUGCUACAAUGGCGCAUACAAAGAGAAGCGACCUCGCGAGAGCAAGCGGACCUCAUAAAGUGCGUCGUAGUCCGGAUUGGAGUCUGCAACUCGACUCCAUGAAGUCGGAAUCGCUAGUAAUCGUGGAUCAGAAUGCCACGGUGAAUACGUUCCCGGGCCUUGUACACACCGCCCGUCACACCAUGGGAGUGGGUUGCAAAAGAAGUAGGUAGCUUAACCUUCGGGAGGGCGCUUACCACUUUGUGAUUCAUGACUGGGGUGAAGUCGUAACAAGGUAACCGUAGGGGAACCUGCGGUUGGA